UCCUAAGACACCAACCCCCAUAGGCGCUUGAACAUGAUCCGAACCAAUCCGGGAAAAGGCUGCAUUUACAGCAUAGCUUCGGACUAACAGCUCUGAAUCGAGCUCCCUCUCUAUUUGGAAAUAUGAACUUCGAAAAACUCCACCUUAUUGCCGUAGGAAUGUUCGAACUUGAAAGUCCGGAAAGGUUGUUCAAACGAUGUUCCGGUUGCCUCAUUGUGGGCCGGGGACUAUCAAACACAGGAGAGUCUGUUACUUCAUGUCGGCAGAGAGAACCCACAUUGCAUUUACUUGGCGUGGUGUAGCCUCGGCAUUUUAUUACAGCAUCGAGACUCGUAUCAUGGCUUCGAUGUUGGGUCUUGUAACGCAGUUACACCCAGUUACUGUGAGUCAGCAGGCUCGGGUUCAAGUUUCACCUGUUCCGGGGUGGUUAAAAAAUAACAUUUCUGAACAAGUUGGUUAGAAAAAGCAUAGACCAUUCUGUUUGUUUCCUCCAAAGAUGUUACCAGACCUGUGGAGUAUGUUUUUAUUUCAGUCACACGGACAUAGAGACACUGAUAGAUUCUCCUCUGAUGCAUUAAAUGUAAUUUUUAUUCUUGGA